rnacentral:rRNA from 1 species
GGGAGGGGCGCAAGCGUUGUUCGGAAUCACUGGGCGUAAAGCGCGUGUAGGCGUCGGGGACAGUCGGGAUGUGAAAUCCCGAGGCUCAACCUCGGAACUGCAUUCGAAACUACCCCGGCUAGAGUCCCGGAGAGGAUGGCGGAAUUCCCGGUGUAGGGGUGAAAUCCGUAGAUAUCGGGAGGAACAUCAGUGGCGAAGGCGGCCAUCUGGACGGUGACUGACGCUGAGACGCGAAAGCGUCGGGGAGCAAACAGGAUUUAGAUACCCUGGUAGUCCACGCCGUAAACGGUGAGUGCUAGACGUCGCGGGUAUUGACCCCCGCGGUGUCGCAGUUAACGCGUUAAGCACUCCGCCUGGGGAGUACGGCCGCAAAGGCUA